rnacentral:misc_RNA from 1 species
AGGCGGUACCAGGUAGCCGGCGAACUCGCACUACACAGCAGGCGAGAGAAAAGGGCCUCGCGCACCGUGCCUAUCCCUCAUCCCUCUCCGCUUUCCUCUCUCCAAUGGCUCAGAUGCUCGGCUGGGGUGCGAAGCGCAUGUCUAGCAGCAGUGAGCUGAAGGAUGUGGACAUGUACGUGUACGUGGAGCCGGCUGGGCUGCUGGGCCACUUCCUUGGUCGCCCGCUCCGGUUCAAGGUGCAGCAGUUUUCGUUUCUGGUGAACCGGCGCGAGCGCGCGCUGCAGCGCGUUGAGGUGAGCGCAGACUCGCUGCUUCCUCAGUGCGAGGUGUACAUGCCGUCUCGAUUUGAGCGAGUGCCGUUGAGCUUUUCCGAAGUGGAGCGGGUGAUGCAGCGAACGCGGAGCUAUGUGCUCAACGCCCCCCGGUAUCCUCUCAUCACCUACGAUGUCGAGGCCAACACGAGCGACGCUGUGAAGGGUACACUGAAUCUGCACGGUGCGAGCCACACGGUGGAGUGCAGCAAGGUAGUUGAGGGGGCUGAGCUAGUGGUGCGCUGCCCGGUGCGCUUGAGUCAGUUCCACGUGCCGCCGUUCAAGAUGUGGCUGGGGCUGUUCACGCAGGCGGACACGGUCGAGGUCGAGACGCGCAUUCCUGCCAAGGUGCUAAAGCUGUGAGUGAGAGGUGGUGAGGUAGUGCAGGAGGAGGGGGAGGGCGGAUACGAUUGCCUGAGUUGAGGUGUCCAGCUCGUGAUUGGGUGAGUCGCGAGGGGCAGAGGGAUGCAUGGUGCUUGACGUCCGCUGUCUCUCUCGCUCCGCUCUCCCUGACCGGGCGACUUCUUGUCGUCUCCCGUGUGCACCGGUGCCUUGUGGUGGGUGUUGAUUGGCUUGUUCCUUGUACAUGGAUGACGCUCCGUCUUGCCGGGUUUAUCGUCACAGGCGCUAUGCGAGUGCAUAGGCAUCCAACAACGAAGGUGCGCUGGACGAGGAGAAGGCGAGGCGGCUGUGGCAGGUGACGGCAUGGCCGACAUUGCAAGCACAUGGCUGGCCGAAAAGGAUCUCUGCGCUUCCUCCGCCGCCCUCUCGGCUCUAUGCAGGAACACGUGAGAAGGUGCAGCAGCUGCAGAACAACUCAAAAGAGUGACAGGAGUGUGUGUGCGUGCGUGAGGUACGCGCAGACCUCUCUCUCUGGAGCUCAUACUCGAAGAUGACGAUGAAGCCGUCGGCACAUACGCUCGCGGUGCACGCUUGCGCGGGUCUUCUCCCCUUGCCCGCUCUCUUCUGAGCGCCCCUCCCACCUGCAUCCAUCUUUCUCUCCCCAUAUCACCGCUCCUUCCUGAGCACUGACGCACGCGUUCGCGCUAACCUUCGCCUCUCUUCUCACCCUAUCAAUUCCAG